GUGCCAGCCGCCUUUCGGUAAUUCCAGCUCCAAUAGCGUAUAUUAAAGUUGUUGUGGUUAAAAAGCUCGUAGUUGAACCUUGGGCCUGGCUGGCCGGUCCGCCUCACCGCGUGCACUGGUCCGGCCGGGCCUUUCCCUCUGUGGAACCCCAUACCCUUCACUGGGCGUGGCGGGGAAACAGGACAUUUACUUUGAAAAAAUUAGAGUGCUCCAGGCAGGCCUAUGCUCGAAUACAUUAGCAUGGAAUAAUAAAAUAGGACGCGCGGUUCUAUUUUGUUGGUUUACAGGACCGCCGUAAUGAUUAAUAGGGACAGUCGGGGGCAUCAGUAUUCAACUGUCAGAGGUGAAAUUCUUGGAUCAGUUGAAGACUAACUACUGCGAAAGCAUUUGCCAAGGAUGUUUUCAUUAAUCAGGAACGAAAGUUAGGGGAUCGAAGACGAUCAGAUACCGUCGUAGUCUUAACCAUAAACUAUGCCGACUAGGGAUCGGACGGUGUUAUUCAUGACCCGUUCGGCACCUUACGAGAAAUCAAAGUGCUUGGGCUCCAGGGGGAGUAUGGUCGCAAGGCUGAAACUUAAAGAAAUUGACGGAAGGGCACCACCAGGGGGUGGAGCCUGCGGCUUAAUUUGACUCAACACGGGGGAACUCACCAGGUCCAGACACAAUAAGGAUUGACAGAUUGAGAGCUCUCUCCUUGAUUUUGUGGUGGUGGUGCAUGGCCGCUCUAAUUGGGUGGGGGGGACUUGUCUGCCUUAAUUGCGAAUAACGAACCAGGACCAUAACCUGCUAAAAAAGACCGCAUUGGCUCCCGGCCGAGCGCUUGACUGU
rnacentral:rRNA from 1 species